rnacentral:rRNA from 1 species
UACGGAGGGUGCAAGCGUUAUCCGGAUUCAUUGGGUUUAAAGGGUGCGCAGGCGGGCAUUUAAGUCAGUGGUGAAAAGCUGCCGCUUAACGGUAGUCUUGCCAUUGAUACUUUUUGUCUUGAGUUUGUUUGAGGUAGGCGGAAUGUGCAGUGUAGCGGUGAAAUGCAUAGAUAUUGCACGGAACUCCGAUUGCGUAGGCAGCUUACUAGACCAAUACUGACGCUCAUGCACGAAAGCGUGGGGAUCAAACAGGAUUA